rnacentral:snRNA from 1 species
UUGGAAUGACCUUAAAGAUAUUU